rnacentral:lncRNA from 1 species
UAUUAGCUGUUUGAUGUUACAUUAUUUGAAUUUCAUUUCAGUAACAGCACAUUAAUUUGCUUUUGAAUCUGUUUUUUGACUGUUUUGCAGAUUGGAGAAUUCAGAACAAUAAUGGUCUCCACUUUUAGGAUUUUUUUUUCCUAAAUAAAAAUUAUUUUAUAUCUCCUUUCUUCCAGCCAGGAUGAUUUACGCUACUGUAUGAUGUGAGAAAUCCUGCAUCUUUGGUUGUAUGUGGGGCCUAAGAUAGAGCCUACCAUAACCGAUAAGGUACAAGGGGUUUGAACGAUCUUCAGGACUUCUGGAUGAACACACCAGAGACCCAACAUGUCUGAAGUUUCUGAAUCCCACUGUAAGUUCUAGGAGCUGAAACAAGAGCUGCUUCAUUCCACAGAAACAUGAGCCUAAUUCUUACCACAUUCCUAACCUAAGUGUGCAAAAUCAUGUCUUCAGAGAGUCUGUGAAAAGGGAGUACAAGAAAUAAGUAAAUGG